rnacentral:rRNA from 1 species
GCAUAGAGGAAGUAAAAAGUCGUAACAAGGUCUCCGUUGGUGAACCAGCGGAGGGAUCAUUACCGAGUUUACAACUCCCAAACCCCUGUGAACAUACCUAUACGUUGCCUCGGCGGAUCAGCCCGCGCCCCGUAAAACGGGACGGCCCGCCCGAGGACCCUAAACUCUGUUUUUAGUGGAACUUCUGAGUAAAACAAACAAAUAAAUCAAAACUUUCAACAACGGAUCUCUUGGUUCUGGCAUCGAUGAAGAACGCAGCAAAAUGCGAUAAGUAAUGUGAAUUGCAGAAUUCAGUGAAUCAUCGAAUCUUUGAACGCACAUUGCGCCCGCCAGUAUUCUGGCGGGCAUGCCUGUUCGAGCGUCAUUUCAACCCUCAAGCUCAGCUUGGUGUUGGGACUCGCGGUAACCCGCGUUCCCCAAAUCGAUUGGCGGUCACGUCGAGCUUCCAUAGCGUAGUAAUCAUACACCUCGUUACUGGUAAUCGUCGCGGCCACGCCGUAAAACCCCAACUUCUGAAUGUUGACCUCGGAUCAGGUAGGAAUACCCGCUGAACUUAAGCAUAUCAAUAACG